CCCUUAGAUGUUCUGGGCCGCACGCGCGCUACACUGAUGCAUUCAACGAGUCUAAAACCUGGUCUGAUAGGGCUGGGUAAUCUUUUGAAUGUGCAUCGUGAUUGGGAUAGAUGAUUGCAAUUCUUCAUCUUCAACGAGGAAUGCCUAGUAAACGCAAGUCAUCAGCUUGCAUUGAUUACGUCCCUGCCCUUUGUACACACCGCCCGUCGCUCCUACCGAUGAAUGAAUCGGUGAGAAUUUGGGAGAGCUGAAGAGAGGAUUUGGGUUGGAAACGGCCUAGAUCUGAAACGUGUCGAGAGAUGCGGGAGCUACAAACUUGUUCAAACCUGUUCAUUUAGAGGAAGGAGAAGUCGUAACA
rnacentral:rRNA from 1 species